UGCAAACCACGUGAUCAUCCACAAGAGCAGUGCAGGUUCGCUGAGAUAAGUAGGAACUGCCGCUGACGGAGAUUCCGAGACACUGAGGUGUAGAGCUGGGUGAAUAUAACAGGCCAAGAAGUAUCAGAGGAGUAGGAAAGCUGACGUUUUGUGCCUGGUCCCUUCGCUGAGACUAAGGUUUGUGCAAUUGAGAUACCAGCGAUCGUUGCCAAAGCCCUGUUACCUGUGGAGAAGGUCAUGUUUAACUUUCCUGUGCUGCUGCAGUUCGUAUGAUGAAGGUGCUCCCACAAUUGUGGUCAUUUGAGAAGUUACAGAUCAUUCAUCUAGCGAUACUGAAGAGCUGAUGGUGAUAUUACAAGUGGACUUUCAGGUGGGGAAACUCAAUAAUUGUAACCCCAAACUCUGACAGAGUUCCUCACUUCAUCAACAUCUGGAUAUUUGCAUUGUGUAUUUCCACAAUUUUACUUCUGCACUGUUCUUAACCUUUUGAUCCCUCUGAAAUACUGAGUUACAAUGCCUGCCCUUCCUCCCUGGCUCUCCCACCUCUCUUUGAGCAGUUUUGUGCAAAUACUGACUGGAUCCCUUGCCUGGAGGAUAUUUAUUUCAAUUUGUCCUAAUGAUGAUCCAGCACAUUUCCCAAGUGUCGCUCCAUAAAUGUCCAGAGGAUUUCUCGAUUUCACAAUCUGUGGUUGUUCUUCUGGUUCCUCACUCACUGCACUUGCUUUCUGUUUGAAAGCUUAGUCUGCAAUUGGAGAAUACAAACAGGUCCACAUCCAGCUCUGACAGUCACUUUGUUUAUCACAAACCAGUUACCUCAGGAUUUUGAACAUUGGAGGAAAAAGCAGCAUUCACACUGGGGAGAAAUGCACAUGGUCUGUAAAGAGUCUGUGAAGAUUCAUCUGAAAUGUCCGAGCACCAGCGCAGUGACACUGGAGAGAGACUGUGGAAAUGUGCAGAUUGCAGGAAUGAAUUUUUUAAUCCGUCCCAGCUAGAAACUGACCACCAGAGUCACACUGGAGAGAAACCAUUCACCUGCUCUGAUUGUGGAAUGGGAUUCACUCAGUCCUCUAACCUGCUUAAACACCAGUGAGUUCGCACUGUAGAGAAACCAUUUGCAUGCUUGAAAUGUGGGAAAGCAUUCACUCAGACAUCUCAACCGCUGAUGCACGAGCGAAUUCACACUGGAGAGAGACCGUUGGCCUGUUCUGUGUGAGGGAAAGGCUUUGCUGACUCGAAUUGCCCGCUGAUCCACCAGCGACUUCACUCUGGGGAGUGACCAUUCGUCUGCUCCCAGUGUGGGAAGGGAUUCACUUGCUCACCUAACCUACAGAGCGUUCACACUGGGGAGAAACCAUUCACCUGCUCUAAAUCUGUGAAAGCAUUCACUUGGUCACCCUACCUGCUUGUGUUCCAGCAGGUUCACACUGGGGAGAACCCAUUCAUGAGCUCUGACUGGGGAAAGCAUUCACUCAGUUAUCCAAACUGUUAACACACCAGUGAGUUCACAAAGAAGCACAGUUGAAGGAUUUUGCUGUCACUCUCACUAUCAAGUGAACCGUGUUUUUGGGCUGUAUUUACUGAUGUUACUGAUCCCUGCUCAAUUAAAAGUACAGGUAUUGUGGAUAAAAUGUUAAUAUCAGUUGUGUAUCUGUCAGGUAGAGUUUGGAAAUAGUCACGUUAUCACGACACAUUGACACAUUCUCACUGACUAAAGACGAGCCGCCCGCACAGUAUGUGAAAAGGGAUUUCCUGGUUCAUCCGGACUGGUGAACGAGCAGCAAAUUUCUGAGUAACUGUGAAGUCGGUUUUUGAUUCUGCAGUUAGCUAUAUCCAAACCAUGCUUUUUGGGCUUGCUUCUGGAGAUCAUAGAAUCCCUCCAGUCUGGAAGCAGACCAUUUAGCCCAUCGAGUUCCCAAUGAACUUAGAGUGUCCUACCCAGACCCUGCCUGCGUGGGUUUCCUCCAGGUGCUCUAGUUUCCCACAGUCCAAAAAUGUGCAAAUUCGGUAGAAUGACAAUGCUAAAUUGCCCAUAGUGUCUUGUGUGCAAAAUGCAGGGUAGGGUGUGAGACUGGGUGAGAUGCUGUUUGGAGGGUUGAUAAUGGACUGAAUGGCCAUCUUCCACACUGUAGGGAUUCUAUGUUGAUCGAAAUGGCCCUUUAUUUGUUGUGUCUGGUCAAUAUGUUUGCACACCUUCUACAAUUAUGGAUUCUAUUGCUCUCCACAGACAUCUUUCAACUACUAAUAGAUAUUUGUUUAUUGGAAACAAUCAAAGGAAAGUUUUAAAUCCAACAAAAGAUUGGGAUGAGUCAUGUUCUAUAUCCCUGAUAGCCGAUUGCAAAAAUGCAAUGAAACCUGGUGACCUGUCCAUGGGGAAUGCAGUCUCUUCAGAUCUUUACCAGGUGUCCAUAGCAGUGACAGAUCUUGUGAUGAAUACAAAAAGCUAGACAUUGUGUGAUAUCUAGUAUAUAUUUCCUAUUUAGUCUGCUGUCCAUUACUCCACAUGUCAAGUUUGUUUUCGGAGACCCUCACGGACUUGCUGCAAUCACAAGACACUGACCUGUUUAGAAAAACACAAAUCCUUUUAUUACCAAGCAAGUACAAGCUGUGGAGAAUCACUGUACUCAACCCGGCACAGAGAGCAGAGUCUCGCAAGUAAUUCUCCCCAAGCAGCAGACAGUGCCCGCUUAUUAUACUUUACAAAAGCCACGAUACUGAAAAUGACUUCACAAUUUAUAAUGGCAUGAUGCAUAAAACAAUUACUACAACAGACAAAAAUAGGAUACCAAGCAAUUAUUACAUCAAGAACAUAAAAGACCAGCUUAUAGUAUCGAUUGCUAGUGAAGUAGCUGCUAAUGGCAGGAGGCGAUUUUGAGUUGUUGUCGAGGACGGAUUGUGAUUUCAAGUUGCCAGUGUGUCUGACUAGAACAAAGUCAGUGCCCUGGCCCCUUUGCCAGUGACAGAAGUUACAUGCUUUAGAGGUUUCACACCCUUACAAAUUUUCCCCACCUAACCCUAUUUGAAACAGUUUGAUUCUAGUUUCAAUUCAGACAGGAAGCUUAAGACAGUGUCUGCAUACCGAUGUGUGAGAAGAAAAGGAGUGAAAAAAGCUUUACGCUGAAUUCCUAGCUGGGCAGGAAACUUCAGGGUAGUGCCUGCAUACCGAUGUGUAGGUAGAUAAGAGUUUACUUCUGUAAAUUAAAGUCUUUUAUCUGCAUUUGAUUUCUAUACAGAGACUUUAAUUUAUAGAAGUAUAUAAAUCAAUGGGCUGUCAUCACAUUAACAUCUCACUCAGAGACUGAGAUACGGUCUGGUGACCUAGAUUUGAAUCACACCAUUCCAGAUGGUGGAAUUUGAGUUUUUUUUUAAAUCUAGAAAUAAGAAUCUAAUGAUGACCAUGAAUCUGUUGUCAGUCAGAAAAACCCAUCUGUUCACCUCUGUCCUUUAGGGAAGAAAACUUCCAUUUUUAUCCAGUGAUAUCAAGAUUCCAUGAAUGAUUGAUUUUUUUUUAACAAAAAAAAACUCCUGCAAAUACAGUUAUCUCUGUCUUAAUUUAUUUAGCAACCGACAGUUCAAACUGGUUGAUGGUCACUUUCACUUCUAAUCAAGUUGUGGCCGUUUCAUGAUUGAAAUUUUUAAAAAUGCAUGAAAGGAACCACAGUUGUUCUCGUAGGAACAAUGCAUGCUCUGACAUGUUUGAAAAAAAUACUUCAUCUCACUUAUCAGCCACAUAUCAAAGCUGACCAGAUCCUGAUGCAGUGAACCAUGAAAGUGAAAUUCUUCACCGUCUUAUCUACUUGUGUUGCGAUUUCAGGGAGCGAUGGACUUGAACCUCCCAAUCUCCUGAACACCUUUGAGAAUUUCAUCAAACUGACGCCCAGUGGCAGGAAUGGACAGGGUCAGCUUGGAUUGAUGCUCAUAAUUCAGGCUCAACAAAUCUACUGGACCAUUUUGGGAAUGAAAUUAGUGUGAAUGUAGAUCAUCGGAAAGGUACCAAUCAGAUGAGACAGGGCAGAGCUGACGUCACUAACAAGCCUCGUCAACCAGUUCCAUGACUACCGGAGGGUCAGUGAGAUUGCAGCAACAAUCGGUACAGAACCGCACAUUCAGAGAAUGUCCCAGCACAGGGGAAGGUGCUUCAGCCUGUCACUGUCUGCAUCAGCGAUAAUGUGAACUGCAGAUGCUGGAGAAUCCAAGAUAAUAAAGUGUGAAGCUGGAUGAACACAGCAGGCCAAGCAGCAUCUCGGGAGCACAAAAGCUGGUGUUUCGGGCCUAGACCCUUCAUCAGAAAAGGGGGAUGGGGAGAGUGUUAUGGAAUAAAUAGGGAGAGAGGGGGAGACGGACUGAAGAUGGAUAGAGGAGAAGAUAGUUGUCUGUUGGUUUGUUCGCCGAGUUUGGCAAAUGAAUUGCAAACGUUUCGUCUCCAGUCGAGAAGACAUCAUCAGUGCGUAGCUGCUGCUGCGUACGAGAAGAUAGGUGGAGAGGAGGCAGGCCGGUCAAAGAGGCGGGGAUGG